UACGUAGGGUGCAAGCGUUGUCCGGAAUUAUUGGGCGUAAAGGGCUCGUAGGCGGUUUGUCGCGUCGGGAGUGAAAACUCAGGGCUUAACCCUGAGCCUGCUUCCGAUACGGGCAGACUAGAGGUAUGCAGGGGAGAACGGAAUUCCUGGUGUAGCGGUGGAAUGCGCAGAUAUCAGGAGGAACACCGAUGGCGAAGGCAGGUCACUGGGCCGCAACUGACGCUGAGGAGCGAAAGCAUGGGGAGCGAACAGG
rnacentral:rRNA from 1 species